CUUCUCCACCUGGAGGUAAUGGAACCCACCACUGCCCCACUCAGCCUUGCAACCACCUUCCCUGUCAGAGUAGUGUAAGAAAAAAACAGUGGGGCCGGGCGCGGUGGCUCAAGCCUGUAAUCCCAGCAC